AGCGAACGUUUGCGGCGGGCCUAACACAUGCAAGUCGAACGGGCAGGGGCAACCCUGUCAGUGGCGCACGGGUGCGUAACACGUGGGUAAUCAACCCUUUGGACUGGGACAACCCGGGGAAACUCGGGCUAAUACCGGAUGUGGCAUGUUGGUCUUCGGGCCGGCAUGCGAAAGCCUCGCAAGGGGCACCAGAGGACGAGCCCGCGGCCCAUCAGCUAGUUGGCGAGGUAAUGGCUCACCAAGGCUAAGACGGGUAGCUGGUCUGAGAGGAUGAUCAGCCACACUGGAACUGAGACACGGUCCAGACUCCUACGGGAGGCAGCAGUGGGGAAUAUUGCGCAAUGGGCGAAAGCCUGACGCAGCCACGCCGCGUGAGCGAUGAAGGUCUUCGGAUCGUAAAGCUCUGUGGGGAGAGAAGAAUCAAGCCGGUGAAGAGCCGGCCCUGACGGUAUCUCCUUAGCAAGCACCGGCUAACUCCGUGCCAGCCGCCGC
rnacentral:rRNA from 1 species